GACGAACGCUGGCGGCGUGCCUAAUACAUGCAAGUCGAACGCAGUGGGGACGGCUUAGUAACACGUCGGUAACCUCGCAUCAACGGGGAUAACACUUGGAAACAGGUGCUAAAUCGACACUGCUGGAUGGACUCGCGGUGCAUUAGCUAGUUGGUGAGGUAACGGCUCACCAAGGCAACGAUGCAUAGCCGACCUGAGAGGGUGAGCGGCCACACUGGGACUGAGACACGGCCCAGACUCCUACGGGAGGCAGCAGUAGGGAAUCUUCGGCAAUGGACGAAAGUCGGACCGAGCAACGCCGCGUGAGUGAAGAAGGUUUGCGGAUCGUAAAACUCUGUUGUUAGAGAAGCGGUAUCUAACCAGAAAGCCACGGCUAACUACGUGCCAGCAGCCGCGGUAAUAC
rnacentral:rRNA from 1 species